GUAUGUAUCUACCACACUUUCUUUAUCCACUCAUUGAUUGAUGGGCAUUUGAGCUGGUUCCAUAUUUUUGCAAUUGUGAAUUGUGCUGCUGUAAACAUGCAUGUGCAAGUACCUUUUUCUUAUGACUUCUUUUCCUCUGGGUAGAUACCCAGGAGUGGGAUUGCCGGAUCUAGAGAUGACUUGUUUUUAAUCUUAUACAUAUUUGUUAAAUAAGAAAUUACAAAAUCCAGACUAUGGGAUGCCUACAGAAAAAACAGACCUCAUUUAUUUAAAAAAUCAAUUGUAAGAGGAAAAAAAAAAGAUGGAGAGGAAAUAUAAAUCCAUAAAUUAAAAGAGAAUUAAGAUACAUUCAGACUAGUUGCAGUGAAUAGAUUUGGAUUCUGAUUUAAACAAACUUAAAAAAGCACACUUCUUUGAGAUAAUUGGGGAAAUUUGAAUACUGACUGGAUAUUUGAUGAUUUAAAGUGUGAAUAGGAUAUUGUGGUUAUGUUUAAAAAGAGAGUCCUUUUACAAAACUAGAAACUAUAAAACUCUAGCAUUUUCUCUCUCUUUCUUUUUUUUUUUUGAAACAGGAUCUCACUCUGUCACCCAUGCUAGAGUGUAAUGGUGCGAUCACAGCUCACUGCAGCCUUGACUUCCGGGGCUCAGUUGAGUCUCCCACCUCAGCCUCCUGAGUACCUGGGACUACAGGUGCGUGCCACUACACCUGGCUAGUUUUUGUAUUUUUAGUAGAGAUGAGUUUCACCAUGUUGCCCAGGCUGGUCUCGAACUCCUGGAAUCAAGUGAUCUGCUUGGCUUUCCAAAGUGCUGAGAUUACAGGCAUGAGCCACCAUGCUUGGCCUACUUUAGCAUUUUCUCAGGGCACCUAUUUAAGUGAUACAUUCUUUUUGGAAACUAUUUUUCUUUUUACUUCUUCCUGCCACCUUUGUGCCCCUCUUAAGGCCUCCACUCUCGCUUGAUAGAAUGCCUUCAGUAAAGUUGUUAGAAUCCUUUCUGUUUGUCCAUAAAAGCACAUGAUUUUUCUGGUUUUGCUGCCCAAGGAAAUAUGCUUCUGAGCUAGUUGUGUGGUCCACACAUCUAUUGACUUAGUUUAAGUGGCUCCAUAACUUGAGUCAAAUACUUGAGCAUUGGUCUUAGAAUCCCAUCUUGUGUGCUUUUAGGAAGACCUGGAUUUGGCUUGUCCAGUGUAAGAUAUUUGGAAGGGAAUUUAGAUACUAGAGUUGCCAAAAAUCGCUUUCUUACAUUGACUUUUAAACUAUGCUUUUAAUUAUACCGUGUAGUUCUUAAAGGCAGCAAACAGUUACAAGGUCUCAAUUCUAAUGGGCCUGGCUGCCAUGCCUCUCUUCUUACCUGAACAGGAAGUAGGUGUUUGUUGUUGCCUUGAGUGGUUUCACCAUUGCUUCAGACAUGCUGAAAUAUCUUCCUUUAUUUCUACAAGUGUAAAAAUCUUUCUAUAUCCUUCUUAACGGAGUCCAGAUUUAAGAAUAGACCAUAAGCAUAAGAAGUGGCCAGCUGUGACUUGAGUAAAUGAUACUGUCAUGAGUAAUUUAGAAGCCAUGUGACUAAGGGUUUUGUACUUUGGAGCCUUAGUAUAAUUAGGUCUUGGGGCUCAUGAGAUGAGUGCAAUGUUUAGUUGCUAAUGCUCCUUUUCGUAGCAGCCAAGAAGAAACAAUCUUUUUAAGUAGCUCUGCUUUGUAGCAAGGAGUCUUCUAUCAAGGUUUCAGGGUACUGUAUUUUAUGUAUAAUAUUUUAAAAUAUUGUGGCAUCUAACCGAACAAUUUCCAAAAAUGCUCCGUGUGAGUUGUAUAUUUAGAAUACUAAAGUUGAUGUCUGGAGACCUGGGCUAUGUGCACAGCGCUACUCCUAACAAGCUGUGUCCAUCUUCCUGUGACACAACUUUCCUUGACUGUAAGAUGGGUAAAAUAAUACUUGCUUUACGGGGAAGUUGUGAUAAUCAAGUGGGAAAAGUCUUUGUAUAGCAGGUGGUCCUUGGUUGGCACUCUAUAAUAAAUAGUCUCUGAAUCUUGGGCUGGUUCCUCAUUUGUCACAUUAAAGAGACCAGUUUUCUCAGGUCAAUUUCAGCUCUAUGAAAAUAUGAUUUGAGUUUGUUUUUGUUUUAUAUUUAUGACCUUUUAACUAGUCUUCUUUCUCUCUCUCACUUAAACAACAUUGGUAGAAAGAGUUUGUUUGUUUUAUUUUUGUAUGGAAUUUCCAUACUUCGGUAUGAAUUGUAGUGUUUGGUUCCUACAGCUUUAGGAAUUACAUUUUUCUUUCAUUUUGGUUUUAUCAAAUCAAUUGACUUAGUUUAUUUGACCAAAGAAUCUUAUGUUUAGAUAGAUCUAGGAGGAUCAAUUUGUGUUGAAAAGAUUCUCAGGAGUUUGCAGUCAUUUUUUAUUUAAGUUGUCAAAAAGAACUUUGAAAAUUACUUAUAAGAAUGCCACUUCCUCUUCACAGAAAUAUAAAACUGUGUCUUUUUGAGGAAGUGUGUAAAAACAAAAGUUGAUAGAGUAAUCUUCAUAAAAAAUCAUCACAGCAGAAUGUCUAAAAAACAUUGGUGUAAAAUUUCAAGUCUCGAAUUAAUUUAUAACGGUAGAAAACAAACUUCUCUGAUAAAAUGUGACUUAAAAAGUUAGAUGAAAGAUACAUUGUAAAAAGUUACUUUAAUUUGGGGUUUUUUCCCUUUUAAAACUAUAGAAUGCUACUUAAAGAGCAGAUAAUUUAAACAUCAUUGGAUAUGUGUAUGUAUCUUAAUUCUAACAAAGCAUUUCAAUUUGAGGUGAUUCUUGGUUGAGAUGUAGGGCAAAGUAAAAAGGGUCACAGGAAAUGAAAAUGAGAAUUGGUAUAAGAAAAGGUGGAAUAAGGAAAAAUAAGAGAAAACCAUUAAGAAACUUAUUUAUUUAUUCUUUUAGAGGGAAGGAAUUAGGAGCGGGAAGGAGAUUGACUGUUAGUUUCUUAGGUGAGUGUUGGAGAUGCUGUUGAACUUUAAGCUUAAUUGGUCACCUGCUGUCCUUUGUUCUUUGAAAUAAUUGACAUUGAUCCUUGCUGUUCAGCCACAUUGACACUUAUAUCUUGGGAGUUCUAGGAUUGGACUAACAAAAGUGGAGGUUGUUACUUACACUGCAAAAGAAACAACCAGAGCUGUGUCACUCAGAAGGCUGAAAAGAAUCAGGCUGACAGCAUAAUGCAGUGAAGAUGGGUGAAGAGAGAUGUGUUUCAUCUGAAAUUUGAAGGGCUUUACAACUCUUCUCCUUUAACUAACUUACCAUCCUUUAACUAACUUACCACCCAAAAUGAAUUCUGUAGCCUUUGUCACCUGUCUUUUCUGCUUCUACAUUUUUGCAGUUACCCAUGUAAAUUCUUAGCUGGCUCUGGGGUCAGACUGUCUGGAUUUAAAUCCUAUUUCUACCACUUAUCUGGGUGUAGACCUUGGAGAAACUGUAUCACUACUCUGUGCCUCAGUUUCCUCAUCUGAGAAAUAGAGAUAAUAAUGGCCUCUAGCUAGUGAGAAUUAAAUGAGAGAAUGCACAUAAGGUGUAUAGUAAGGUGCCUGGUACUAGAUGUGCUCAACAAUAUAAACUAUUAUUCCUCACCUACAUUUGGGAGGCACUCUUAACUGCCCAUCACACUUUCUUCCUUGCUAACAGACCACAGUUUUAUUCAGGCAUUCAGCUGCGGUGUGGCCAGCCUCGGGAUGAAUGAAUGAAGGCUUCUCUGCUAGUGGCAGUCCUAUUCCCAUUUGCCACAAGUUGGUUGGAAGUGAGCGUGUGCCUUUGUUCUGGUCUAUGAGACUUCAUGGAAGUCAACUGGGGUCUUCUGGGAAAGAUAUUCCUCCCUUAUAAGAAACAGGUGCAGGGAGAUAUGUACCCAUUACCUCUCCCUGGCCCCAGCUUUCCUGCUUUGGACAUCCUUGUGUGAUGAUGUGUUGUUACUGCAGCUAUCUUGCAAUCACAAGGAGAUGGCUGCCAACAACCAAGGCUGGCAGAGCGAGAAGAUGGUCAGAGCCUGGACCUACGAUGACAUCACCAAGCCACUGAACUACCUGGUCACUGACCUACUGAGCCUAGGACCACCUACCUCUAGAGAUUUUGUUAAGAGAGAUAAAUCAAAUGUCCAAAUUGCUUAAGCAAAUUUUAGUUGGCUAUUCUGUUAUUUGCAGUUGAAAACACCCUGCCUGAUAAGACUGUCAUUGUCUAAUGCAAUUUUAAAAUUAUGCCACCACAAAGAAUUUCAUGAGUAGAUUAUGAUUUCUGGAAUAAGUCAGCACUCUUCUAUUAGCCUUUCACUUUCCAUGUUAAGAUUUUCAUUACAUGCUUUUAAAUUUUAAUCUUAAUAACUGUCUUAUGUAUUUUAAACCUAGACGCUUCUUUGAAAACUACUUUGAUAAUGAAAGUAAAAUGUAGAUGGACUUUUUUGCUUUAAUUAUCAACAUGAUAAAUAUUCUCAAAAUAAAUGCUGUAAUGAAAGACAUUUUGGUGAGAGUGAAUGUAAACCUAUAACUCUACAUUGACGAUCCUCCUGCAGCUGUGAUAGGAUUAUGGCUUAAAUAUUUUGAAUUUCUGUUUAAAAAUAAACUUUAGUGCAGCUGAUGAGGAGAUUAUGUGUUUUAUUGAGUGUGUUUGCUGAAAUUACAUCUCUAAAAUAAAUAAGAUGUUGUGUAUUUUCUUGUCUGUGUUACAAAAACUUUUUGCUUCCCAGUGUACUGUUUGAAUAAAAGUAUGUUGGUGGCCACCACAUUCUCCCACAUGUAGAGCAAAACUGGGAAGCUCUUCCUCUUUAAUAAUACCGAUCUUGCCCUAUUUCAAGAAGGUUUAGUGACUUGAUAAAAAUUACUUGUCAAAUGUGUUUUCUAGUGGGAUUUUCUUUUAAAAAUUUCUUUUUUUAUUUCUGUACAUUUUUUGAGACAAGGUCUCACUCUGUUGCCCAGGCUGGAGUGCAGUGGCACAAUCAUAGCUUGCUCUGGCCUGGAAUUCCUGGGCUCAAGCGAUCCUCCAGCCUCAGCCUCUCAAGUAGUUGGGUCUUCAGGUGUGCACCACCAUGCUCAGCUAAUUACUGUAUUUUUUUUGUAGAGAUGGGGUCUCACUGUGUUUCCCAGGCUGGUCACAAACUCCUGGCCUCAAGCCAUCUUCCCAUCUCAGCCUUCAAAGUGUGGGAUUACAG
rnacentral:lncRNA from 1 species